rnacentral:rRNA from 1 species
CGGGGGGGCGAAGCGUUGUUCGGAAUUACUGGGCGGUAAAGGGCUCGUAGGCGGCCAACUAAGUCAGACGUGAAAUCCCCAGGCUCAACCUGGGAACUGCGUCUGAUACUGGAUGGCUUGAAUUCGGGAGAGGGAUGCAGAAUUCCAGGUGUAGCGGUGAAAUGCGUAGAUAUCUGGAGGAAUACCGGUGGCGAAGGCGGCAUCCUGGACCGACAUUGACGCUGAGGAGCGAAAGCUAGGGGAGCAAACGGGAUUAGAUACCCCGGUAGUCCUAGCCCUAAACGAUGAAUGCUUGGUGUAACGGGUAUCGAUCCCUGUUGUGCCGAAGCUAACGCAUUAAGCAUUCCGCCUGGGGAGUACGGUCGCAAGGCUG